rnacentral:lncRNA from 1 species
CCCGUUUGUUAAAGGAAUGCCGGCUACAGCAUUCAAGAGAGCCAUUCCUUGACAAAGAAAAGAGAUAAAUGUAAAUAAGCUCAUAUUUUCAGAAGGAGCGGUUUGUUUUAAGAAGCUUCGGUAGCCCAGAGUCUGUUACUUUGGGCUGGGCUAACCUUUCCCUGUUUAAAAACAAACAAACAAACAAAAAAAAAACCUAAAAUAUGCACUUUUAAAGUGCAAGUUGCCCAUUUACAUGUUUAUUAGCUAAUUGUCUACAGGCAUGAGCACAUUCUUUCAUCUUGCACACUCUUUUUUGGGCUCCAAAUCAAGCAUUGUACCCAAGAAAUCCUGGAUGCCAAUUUUGUCACUGCUGGUGGAACUUGCUAAGAAUGUGAAUGAUAAAAGAGGGAAAAGAAAAGAACAGGAAAAAAUGUAGUUUGUUGAGAACACCAGAAUAAGGAAAUCUGUCACAUGGAGGAGGGGCAAAAACAAAAGGUCUCCAGAAAGGUAACAAAUAUUUAACAAAUAUUGAGUACCUACUCAGUUCCAAGCAUUGUUUUAGGUCAUUAAAUAAACAAUGCACACAAAAAUUCUGUUCUGCCUUA